rnacentral:rRNA from 1 species
GAUGAACGCUGGCGGCGUGCCUAAUACAUGCAAGUAGAACGCUGAAGGAGGAGCUUGCUCUUCUGGAUGAGUUGCGAACGGGUGAGUAACGCGUAGGUAACCUGCCUGGUAGCGGGGGAUAACUAUUGGAAACGAUAGCUAAUACCGCAUGACAACAGUUAUUGCAUGAUAACUGUUUAAAAGGGGCAACUGCUCCACUACCAGAUGGACCUGCGUUGUAUUAGCUAGUUGGUGAGGUAACGGCUCACCAAGGCGACGAUACAUAGCCGACCUGAGAGGGUGAUCGGCCACACUGGGACUGAGACACGGCCCAGACUCCUACGGGUGGCAGCAGUAGGGAAUCUUCGGCAAUGGACGGAAGUCUGACCGAGCAACGCCGCGUGAGUGAAGAAGGUUUUCGGAUCGUAAAGCUCUGUUGUAAGAGAAGAACGAGUGUGAGAGUGGAAAGUUCACACUGUGACGGUAUCUUACCAGAAAGGGACGGCUAACUACGUG